rnacentral:rRNA from 1 species
AGAGUUUGAUCCUGGCUCAGGAUGAACGCUAGCGGCAGGCUUAACACAUGCAAGUCGAGGGGUAACGGGGAAGCUUGCUUCCGCCGACGACCGGCGCACGGGUGCGUAACGCGUAUACAAUCUACCUUGUACUGGGGUAUAGCCUUUAGAAAUGAAGAUUAACCCCCCAUAGUCUCUUAGAGUGGCAUCACUUCUAGAGUAAAGGUUACGGUAUAAGAUGAGUAUGCGUUCUAUUAGUUUGUUGGUGUGGUAACGGCACACCAAGACUACGAUAGAUAGGGGCCCUGAGAGGGGGAUCCCCCACACUGGUACUGAGACACGGACCAGACUCCUACGGGAGGCAGCAGUGAGGAAUAUUGGACAAUGGAGGCAACUCUGAUCCAGCCAUGCCGCGUGCAGGAAGACUGCCCUAUGGGUUGUAAACUGCUUUUAUACAGGAAGAAACACCUCUACGUGUAGAGGCUUGACGGUACUGUAAGAAUAAGGAUCGGCUAACUCCGUGCCAGCAGCCGCGGUAAUACGGAGGAUCCAAGCGUUAUCCGGAAUCAUUGGGUUUAAAGGGUCCGUAGGUGGAUAAUUAAGUCAGAGGUGAAAUCUUGCAGCUCAACUGUAAAAUUGCCUUUGAAACUGGUUAUCUUGAGUUAUUAUGAAGUAGUUAGAAUAUGUAGUGUAGCGGUGAAAUGCAUAGAUAUUACAUAGAAUACCAAUUGCGAAGGCAGAUUACUAAUAAUCAACUGACACUGAUGGACGAAAGCGUGGGUAGCGAACAGGAUUAGAUACCCUGGUAGUCCACGCCGUAAACGAUGGUUACUAGCUGUUUGGACUUCGGUCUGAGUGGCUAAGCGAAAGUGAUAAGUAACCCACCUGGGGAGUACGUUCGCAAGAAUGAAACUCAAAGGAAUUGACGGGGGCCCGCACAAGCGGUGGAGCAUGUGGUUUAAUUCGAUGAUACGCGAGGAACCUUACCAGGGCUUAAAUGUAAGUUGCAUUAGUUAGAGAUAGCUAUUUCUUCGGACCACUUACAAGGUGCUGCAUGGUUGUCGUCAGCUCGUGCCGUGAGGUGUCAGGUUAAGUCCUAUAACGAGCGCAACCCCUGUUGUUAGUUGCCAGCGAGUCAUGUCGGGAACUCUAGCAAGACUGCCAGUGCAAACUGUGAGGAAGGUGGGGAUGACGUCAAAUCAUCACGGCCCUUACGUCCUGGGCUACACACGUGCUACAAUGGUAGGUACAGAGAGCAGCCACUGCGCGAGCAGGAGCGAAUCUAUAAAACCUAUCACAGUUCGGAUCGGAGUCUGCAACUCGACUCCGUGAAGCUGGAAUCGCUAGUAAUCGGAUAUCAGCCAUGAUCCGGUGAAUACGUUCCCGGGCCUUGUACACACCGCCCGUCAAGCCAUGGAAGUUGGAAGUGCCUGAAGUCCGUCACCGUAAGGAGCGGCCUAGGGUAAAGUCGAUAACUAGGGCUAAGUCGUAACAAGGUA